rnacentral:SRP_RNA from 1 species
CUGCACUAGUUGGGGAGUUAGCGGUGCCCUGUAACCUGCAAUCCGCUACAGCAGGAAUGAAUUCCUCACAGAGGGUGUGUUGUGUAUCGUCUGCCUCCGGUAAGCAGCGUUGACGAUCCGGUCUCGCGCAACGGAAACCCGUGAACCAUGUCAGGCGGGGAACCGAGCAGCAUUAAGCGGUGCUUUUCGUGUGCCGUGAGGCUGCCGGGUCUGAGCCGGCUGCCGGGGUCCCGGAUAUACAUCAUUUUCAAUGUGAAGUGUGCAG